rnacentral:rRNA from 1 species
AACGAACGCUGGCGGCAGGCUUAACACAUGCAAGUCGAACGCCCCGCAAGGGGAGUGGCAGACGGGUGAGUAACGCGUGGGAAUCUACCCAGUUCUACGGAACAACUGAGGGAAACUUCAGCUAAUACCGUAUACGCCCUACGGGGGGAAGAUUUAUCGGAAUUGGAUGAGCCCGCGUUGGAUUAGCUAGUUGGUGGGGUAAUGGCCUACCAAGGCGACGAUACAUAGCUGGUCUGAGAGGAUGAUCAGCCACACUGGGACUGAGACACGGCCCAGACUCCUACGGGAGGCAGCAGUGGGGAAUAUUGGACAAUGGGCGCAAGCCUGAUCCAGCCAUGCCGCGUGAGUGAUGAAGGCCUUAGGGUUGUAAAGCUCUUUCAGUGGGGACGAUAAUGACGGUACCCACAGAAGAAGCCCCGGCUAACUUCGUGCCAGCCGCCGCGGUAAAAC